CUUAUAUUUACAUCUUAUAAUUUCAGGGCUAUCACAAAAACAUUGCUACUUUUUCUUCAUGAAUCAGGCAGAAAAUGAAUGAAUAAAUGAGUGAAAAACACACAGGUAACAAAAGUCUUCAACUCCAUGACAGCCCUGUAAGAUCCUUCAAGACUGGAACCAAUUAUAAUCGGGAAUGAUCUAGGAGGCUGACAAUGGAUUCUAGUGCUGGAUCUGCCCCUUGCUAACUUUUAUGAGUGAGCAAUUAACAUUGGUAAGCCUCCCUUGCCUCAAUUAUAUAAACAAGAUAGCAUAUUUUUU
rnacentral:lncRNA from 1 species